UGAGGAAUAUUGCACAAUGGGCGCAAGCCUGAUGCAGCAACGCCGCGUGAGGGACGAAGGCCUUCGGGUCGUAAACCUCUUUUCUGGGGGACGAGUAAGGACGGUACCCCAGGAAUAAGUCUCGGCUAACUACGUGCCAGCAGCCGCGGUAAAACGUAGGAGGCGAGCGUUAUCCGGAUUUACUGGGCGUAAAGCGUACGCAGGUGGCUUCGUUAGUCGGACAUGAAAGCUCCUGGCUUAACUGGGAGAGGUUGUUCGAUACUGCGGGGCUUGAGGGUGGGAGAGGGACGUGGAAUUCCCGGUGUAGUGGUGGAACGCGUAGAUAUCGGGAGGAACACCAGUGGCGCAAGCGGCGUCCUGGCCCACACCUGACGCUGAGGUACGAAAGCGUGGGUAGCAAACAG
rnacentral:rRNA from 1 species